UACAGGGAGGGGACAAGCUGUUGUUCGAAUUACUGGGCGUAAAGGGCGCGUAGGCGGCCUUCUAAGUCGAACGUGAAAUCCCCGGGCUCAACCCGGGAACUGCGUCCGAGACUGGAAGGCUCGAAUCCGGGAGAGGGAUGUGGAAUUCCAGGUGUAGCGGUGAAAUGCGUAGAUAUCUGGAGGAACAUCGGUGGCGAAGGCGGCAUCCUGGACCGGUAUUGACGCUGAGGCGCGAAAGCCAGGGGAGCAAACGGG
rnacentral:rRNA from 1 species